GUACUCGCUUUGACAGCACAUAUACUAAAAUUGAAAUGCUACAGAGAUCAGCAUGGCCCCUGCACAAGGAUGACAUGCAAAUUGGUGAAGCGUUCCAUAUUUUU
ensembl:snRNA U6 U6 spliceosomal RNA